rnacentral:rRNA from 1 species
AUUGAACGCUGGCGGCAGGCCUAACACAUGCAAGUCGAGCGGUAACAGAAAGUAGCUUGCUACUUUGCUGACGAGCGGCGGACGGGUGAGUAAUGCUUGGGAACAUGCCUUUAGGUGGGGGACAACAGUUGGAAACGACUGCUAAUACCGCAUGAUGUCUACGGACCAAAGGGGGCUUCGGCUCUCGCCUAAAGAUUGGCCCAAGUGGGAUUAGCUAGUUGGUGAGGUAAUGGCUCACCAAGGCAACGAUCCCUAGCUGGUUUGAGAGGAUGAUCAGCCACACUGGAACUGAGACACGGUCCAGACUCCUACGGGAGGCAGCAGUGGGGAAUAUUGCACAAUGGGCGCAAGCCUGAUGCAGCCAUGCCGCGUGUGUGAAGAAGGCCUUCGGGUUGUAAAGCACUUUCAGUAAGGAGGAAAGGUUAGUAGUUAAUACCUGCUAG